GAGGGUAUAGCUCAGUGCUAGAGUGCAUGCUUAGCAUGCACAAGGGUCCUGGGUUCAAAUGCCCAGUACCUCCA
rnacentral:tRNA from 1 species